rnacentral:lncRNA from 1 species
GUGGGUGGUGUGCUGCGAAAACGAACUCCGUCACCUAACAAAAUCGUAGACAGAUUUACGGGAACUGGGAUCGGAAUUACAAACCCGGACGGAACUUAAGGUCCACUACCUACUGUGAAGAGCAAGGUGGAUGUGCUCUUCCCUCUUGACCCACCCUCCAUGUAGAAUAACACAAGAAUAUGCCAUUAUGGUUCUACCCAAAACCUGCC